AAUUUGGAGGCGGGCCUAGAGGAACCGCCAGAGGAAUCGGAGGGGGCUAGCUGCGACAUCAUGAGUUGCCACGCCGAGUUCCAUGCUGUACGGACGGUGGAGAUGAAGAGUCCCGGUGGGAGGGAGGGACCCCACAGUAGGUUAGUGAUGGUGGUAAGGAGGUUUUUAGGGGUCGGUGGUUGAGGAGUUUGGUUCAGUGACAUUCUAGGGUAGACUAAGCAUCUGUGGUUGGCCUUGGCGGCGGCGCCGGAGGUGGUGGUGGAGAACGCCGGAAAGUGGGAGCAGAGAGGGGCAGCGCAGUGCAUCAUUCGGUCCGGUAUAUCCGUUAAGG
rnacentral:misc_RNA from 1 species